GAGUUUAUUUCUUGACUUUCACCGGACCCGAACCCAAUCGAGAUGGUUUGGGGUGAGCUGGACCGCAGAGUGAAGGCAAAAGGGCCAACAAGUGCUAAGCAUCUCUGGGAACUCCUUCAAGACUG